GAGUUUGAUCUUGGCUCAGAUUGAACGCUGGCGGCAUGCCUUACACAUGCAAGUCGAACGGCAGCAUGAUCUAGCUUGCUAGAUUGAUGGCGAGUGGCGAACGGGUGAGUAAUACAUCGGAACGUGCCCUGUAGUGGGGGAUAACUAGUCGAAAGAUUAGCUAAUACCGCAUACGGCCUGAGGGUGAAAGUGGGGGACCGCAAGGCCUCAUGCUAUAGGAGCGGCCGAUGUCUGAUUAGCUAGUUGGUGGGGUAAAGGCCCACCAAGGCGACGAUCAGUAGCUGGUCUGAGAGGACGAUCAGCCACACUGGGACUGAGACACGGCCCAGACUCCUACGGGAGGCAGCAGUGGGGAAUUUUGGACAAUGGGCGAAAGCCUGAUCCAGCAAUGCCGCGUGUGUGAAGAAGGCCU
rnacentral:rRNA from 1 species